AAUCUGGUACUGAGAAAUAUUUUCAAGUUUGUUAGGAAAUGCCGUUAAAAAAUGUCUUGACUCUCCUUGGACUUUGUACACAAUCGCGAAAGUGGCGUCAGGUUGCAACAUUUUCCCCCAUAAAUGUACGUAGUCUUAUUCAAAGCAGGACUGAGAAGUUGCCCAAGCACAGAGGUUUGUUCGUCAAGAUAGACCGGGAGUGGACGGAGCAGAUCUGAACCCAAGUCCAAGCACUGCAUCCGCAAGACAUUCAAAUUGAUGACGUGAGCAGAGAAGCAGCCAGUGAGGCUGCAGACCUAGUACGGGAAGAUGAUGUGUGACAUUAACUUCGGCAGGAGGAUGCUGCCGAGCUGUGGGGGUUUGUACGCUCCUUGCUGCUGCUGUGGCAUCCAGACUGACUCCUGGAGAAAUGCAAUCAGCAGGUUAGUGGAGAGAGACGGGGCCCGGAUCAUAGAGAGGGCAUCACCCAGCUAUCACAGACACUGAACAGAUACGAUAAGGAGGAGAUCCUAGAUUAGCGAUCCUGGACGGGACUUGGACUGAUCCUGCCUUUAAUAAACUUCCUUGAAGUUUAGACUGUUUUGCAUGUUCAGUAACCAUCUGUGGUAUCUCUAUGUGGUUUGGGAUAUUGACUGAAAUCUUGUGCUCUCUGUAAUUACUUGUACAAGUUUUGUAAUUAUUGUUUAAGGCAGUAAACAGUCAUUGAAUGAUGCAAGGUUGGGUGUGGAUGCAUGGUACCCUUCGAUCGAUGAAAAAAAGCAUCAGCAUCUCACGAGGAUAUAGAGUCUGAGAAGAUUCAUAGCAGUGUUGUCUUCAUGACCUUUGACAUCAUGCAUCCUCUCCUGCACAUCCUAGGGUCAAUGUUGUGCCACUUUAUUUCAAGUGACUUGUAUUCCAAUAUUUUCUACAAACCCGAUUUCGUAAGACAGAAAUGUCUUGAGUUUAAUAGGGUUGCUUUAAUGCCUAAACAAAAUAACUAGCCUUAUCGGGUUUUUUUAAAACAACAGUUCAAAAAUCGUCAACUUUUGCAUUUUUGCCUUUUGCAAUUUUUGUUCCAUGCAGUACUGAUUCCAUGUAUUCAACAGUUUGGCUCUACAUGUGCUGGUAUAUAUAUAUAUAUUUGGCAUGAAGCAUGAAGCAUUAAACAUUUUGAGUUUUCCAUUACCAAAAAAAUUAAUAUCUUUAGCUUCUUAUCAAAGCAUCAUCCCAAUUGUAAAAUCAGUGAUUAACUCGUUGUUAAUUAAAUAUUUAUAUAGAAUUUUCCAGUCGAAAAGAAUUAAAAUGACAAAUGCUUUGGAACUU
rnacentral:lncRNA from 1 species